rnacentral:lncRNA from 1 species
GUAGAGGACAAUUUCGAAGUCAAAAGGCAUGAAGGGAAGUCCCUUUGGGGUCCCAGCCCCGGCACCCUGGCCGUUGGCCCCUGGACAGCUGUUCACUCCCUUCUCAGGCUUGUUGGGGACACACACGUCAUGCCCUGAAGCGUUCCGGAACCGGUAGGGGCUGCCUGUCCUGCCACUCACCCACUCCAGCUAGGAACUCCUCAGUGGGCAAGAUAAUUGGGCCCAGGUUGAGUUAUGACGUUCACAGGUAAGAAGCAGGGUUCAGAUGAGGGCUGGGUCUACAGCCAAGUGUGGGAGAGCUGGUGAAAGCCUUGCGAGAGGCAGAGACUGGCCAGCCUCACCCUGCAUUCCCAAUCCCCUCCUCUUUGUCAAAAUCUUACUCUCAGCAUGGUGCUGUCCAAUACGAUAUGAGCUAAAGUCCCUCGGGAGGGGGAUGUGAACAACAGACAAAGUGUCACUAGGAGAAAGUCCUCUGCCCCUAUCCACUUCCUGUCUGAGCUGCGGCUAUUUUGCAGUCCCGAGCUAAGUGCUACGUGCUGAGGGGGAUGGGCGGGGAGAUAAGGAAGCCCCUGGCCCUGCUGCUGUCCUGCCGUGGGCUAGCUCCCUGUGGGUGUCUGCUGGCAAGAGAGAAACACAUGCUUUCAUCUGCUUCAGCCAGGAUCGUCAGGUUUCCUGAGGUUUCCAGCUGGGCACAUUCCUGAUGGCCUCUGCGUGUGCACAUGUGUGUCCUUUUUUCUUAGAGAUUCUGCAUUUGUAACAACUUCCCAGGUGAUUUUGAUGGACGCUGACUUUCAGAGCUCAUUGCCCUAAAGACUCCUGGCCUAAGAGUGAGGAAGUCUGAGGAAUCUGGUUUCAGCUCCACUGAUAUCUAACCGCACGUACACCAGGUCCUGCAGAUGACAACCUCUGGUGGAACGGAGUGAUGCUGGAUUCAGUACUCAACACACAAGUGUCAGCUCCUGGGAAGGGCAAAAGCAGCUUCACAGCGACACCAGGGAUGGCAGAGAUGUUCUUCCUCAGCGUUCCCAUGGAGAACACUAGUGUCCUGAGAGAGAAUGCACCUGCUUUGGUGAACACUGACUGUCUCAGCUGUGGCAUGACGACAAGGGCUUGGAGGAAAUGCCAACUGACUCCAGCAGCACAACCUGGAGAACGCGGCUCAGAGAAGACUUGAGAACGUGGCUCAGAGAAGACUUGCAGUGGGUGGGCCCGGCCUCUUCCAGGUGGGGGACUCCCAGGUGAGGCCACUGCUCUGCCCUGGGCCAUCACACUUUGAGAAGGGGACUGGGUGUAGGUAAUGCCCACACUUGGCCAUGAUUCUGCUUCCACAGAGGUCCCAGCUAAAUAGUCUUAAUUAACAAUGUGAUGUUACCUUUAAGGGAUGAAGGUUUAGUGAUUGAGAGAAAUGAGGAAUUCAGGAAUGUGCUUAGCACUGAGCGGUUUCUUAACACAUAUGGUUGGCAAAUCAAGGCACAACUUAAAACCACUCAAUUAAGGUAAUAAAUUAAGCAGUGAAACUAAUUUCUAAAUAUCCCAAAUUUGACACACAUUAUUCCAAAGAUCUCAGACCUCCUCCUGCCAUGGCCUUCCUUUCCUUUGAGCUGCUCAAGCCAUGUAAGUUGCCUCCCCUCUUUCUGUGAUAUCUUCUACCCAUUGGCAACAAAUCCUCUCCAAAGUGUGCAGCAUCUAGCCAUGUCUGAGCUACUGUCAAGGCUCAGCUGUGUGGCCACCACAUGACCUCCUGACCCAUCUUCCUGGUGUUGCCUUGGCCACCCCUACACAUAUGUGUUGAAUGAAAGACUAUUUGAUGAAUUUCUCCCAGUUUUCAUUGGAUCAUGGGUUCACAGUGGGUUUUGUGAAAACCACAUAUCAAUCCCACGCAUGUAAAAUGGGACAGAAUUAUUUCUAAAAAGUGCACAGUUUGGACAGACCACAGAUCGGACAGACCAUAGCUGCUCUGACAUACAGAGCAGAUGAACUCAAUUCUAGUCCUAAAAAUGCAGCAGGGAGCAGCAUUCCGGGGCCCACAUGGGCUGCCUUCCUCCAUCCCACCAAGGCCCUGGCAGGGUGGGAUGGACUCCCUUUGUGGACCAGGCGGAGGCUGCAGGUUCGGGAUUUAAACCUGAACUUAGUGGAGCCCUUUGAGGAUGCCAUUUUGUUAGCCUGAUGGGCAAAGCAGAUGAUGGGAGGGGCCCAGGUGAAGGAUCCCCAACUGCACGCCCCGCCCCCCUGCUGCUGGGCCAGAUCUUUUUUUUUUUUUGAGAUGGAGUUUCGCUCUUGUUCCCCAGGCUGGAGUGCAAUGGCGCGAUCUCGGCUCAUGGCAACCUCUGUCUCCCAGGUUCAAGAGAUUCUCCUGCCUCAGUCUCCCACGUAGCUGGAAUUACAGGCGUCCACCACCAUGCCCGGCUAAUAUUUUGUAUUUUUAGUAGAGACGGGGUUUCACCAUCUUGGCCAGGCUGGUCUUGAACUCCUGACUUCAGGUGAUCCACCUGCCUCGGCCUCCCAGAGUGCUGGGAUUACAGACAUGAGCCACAGCACCCGGCCCGGGCCAGCUCUUACAAAGGCGGUUCAGAACCUACAGGGUUUGUCUUGGCACCAAGACAGGCUGUGAAAGCUGCCCCCAGGUCACGACCCAUCCAGCUGGAGCAGGUCACCGAGACGCACCCCCGCACACAUCCGUCUGCUCUCUGGCCCUGCCACCUCCUGGCACCCACGCUCCCCAGCCCAUGCCCACUUGUACUGCUGGGGUUAAAUCAGGUCGAUUCAGAGCCUUCCUACAAAGCUGCUGCCCACCUACAAAUUUCGUAUUCUAUUAUUUUUGUCAUUGGUCCAGGACCCCAGACAACUCUAGGGAUUUGCAGCUUGUGGUCACAAGCACUGAGUCUGAGGGAAGGGAGCUGCCCAGGGCCACUGGCAGGCCUAGACUGGGUGCCAGGCCUGAGUUCCACAGGAGGGGCCCUGCCAGCUGGCACCCAUGGCCACGAAGCAGCACCCUUACCCGCUGGGCCCCAGGCAGCCCAGGUCCCAACAGUAAGCAUAGGCUUGGCAGCCAGACCCACGAGCAACCAAGGUACCCAGGGCCUGUGCAGGGAGAUGGGCACCUAAAGAGGAACGUUCUGGAGUCCUAGGUGCAAAUGCUGAGCAGUUAGACUGAUUUGGGGCCUCUGAGCACCAGGAAUGGCCUGCAGUCACGGGGAGCUGCAAGGCAAAGCUGAGUUUAGUGCAAACACCAUUGAUCAUGCAAAACAUAAAAUAAAAUCUUACUGGGAAGGAUGUUGGGA